ACAACCAUAUCACAUUGAAACACUAGUUCUCAUAUGAUCACUGAAAUUAAGCAACAUCAAGCCUGGUCAGUACAUAGAUGGGUGACUGCUCUGAAAUACCAGGUGCUGUAAG